GCGCCGGUCGGAUAGUGGCUAUUCCAGUGCGCUGUAAACGCACCGCCUUCGGGCAUCGUUGGUUCGAGUCCAACCCGGCGCACAA
rnacentral:tRNA from 1 species